rnacentral:rRNA from 1 species
AACAGUUGGAAACGACUGCUAAUACCGCAUAAGCGCACAGCUUCGCAUGAAGCAGUGUGAAAAACUCCGGUGGUACAAGAUGGACCCGCGUCUGAUUAGCUGGUUGGUGAGGUAACGGCCCACCAAGGCGACGAUCAGUAGCCGGCCUGAGAGGGUGAACGGCCACAUUGGGACUGAGACACGGCCCAAACUCCUACGGGAGGCAGCAGUGGGGAAUAUUGCACAAUGGGGGAAACCCUGAUGCAGCAACGCCGCGUGAGUGAAGAAGUAUUUCGGUAUGUAAAGCUCUAUCAGCAGGAAAGAAAAUGACGGUACCUGACUAAGAAGCCCCGGCUAACUACGUGCCAGCAGCCGCGGUAAUACGUAGGGGGCAAGCGUUAUCCGGAUUUACUGGGUGUAAAGGGAGCGUAGACGGUUUUGCAAGUCUGAAGUGAAAGCCCGGGGCUUAACCCCGGGACUGCUUUGGAAACUGUAGGACUAGAGUGCAGGAGAGGUAAGUGGAAUUCCUAGUGUAGCGGUGAAAUGCGUA